rnacentral:lncRNA from 1 species
CGGGAUGUACAGGUUAGCAGGUUAAUAACGGCUGAGCCUACCCAUGUUCCUUUAAAAACUCUUCCAAAAGCUCCUUUUCCAAUCUCAUCUUCCAAGCGAAAGGAUAAGUCGUUCAGUUUAAUUAUUGGAAUUGUGGAUAUAGUACGCUUCUGUAAUGAAGAAAAUUUCUGGUUGCUUUUUUUUGGGUCUAUAACGGUUACUAUACGGGACGUGUAUGUUUGUCCAUGUACUGAAAUGGUGCAAUGGUAUUUACCUUCUUCCUAUUU